GUGCUGGCUUCAGCAGCACAUAUACUAAAAUUGGAACGAUACAGAGAUUAGCAUGGUCCCUGUGCAAGGAUGACGUGCAAAUUUGUGAAGUAUUCCAUAUUUUU